rnacentral:rRNA from 1 species
GAGAGAGAGACAUGCGCGCAUAUCAAUAAGCGGAGGAAAAGAAACUAACUAGGAUUCCCUCAGUAACGGCGAGUGAAGCGGGAAGAGCUCAAAUUUGAAAUCUUCAAGGUUCUACCUUGACGAAUUGUAGUUUAAAGAAGUGUUUUCUGUUGGAGUUUUGGUAAAAGUUCUUUGGAAUAGGACAUCAUAGAGGGUGAGAAUCCCGUAUUUGACCAUUAUUUCCAACUUUGUGAUACACUUUCAAAGAGUCGGAUUGUUUGGGAAUGCAGUCCAAAAUGGGUGGUAAAUUUCAUCUAAAGCUAAAUAUUGGCGAGAGACCGAUAGCGAACAAGUACCGUGAGGGAAAGAUGAAAAGAACUUUGAAAAGAGAGUUAAACAGUACGUGAAAUUGUCAAAAGGGAAGCGUUUGACACCAGUGUUGUUUUCUCGAAAAUCAAUUAAAAAAGACUGGAUUUUGUGUUGUAUUGACUUUAUCAGCUUUCUUCACUCUUUUCUUGUCUUUUUUAAUGCACUUUUCGUUUAACAAGUCAACAUCAGUUUCUUUUGCUGUAAAAGAGUCAUUGGAAGGUGGCUUUCUUUUCGGAGAAAGUGUUUAUAGCCUUUGGCCUCUGCAAUCGGAGAGAUUGAGGUCUGCAGCGUAGAUCCUUCGGGGUUAGAUACAUUUGUGCUAAGUUAUAGCCUUUCAUAGACAACUUGUUGACUAUGAUCAGUCAUGUAGCUUACUCGCUUAUGUCUAUUUUACCUACGCUUAGGAUGUUGACAGCAGUAUAGACUGU